UUUACUGAUUUUGCUAAUAGUGAAAAAGAAUUGCUUUUUCUAGGCUUCAAGUCUGAGCCUGCAAAUACUCCUACAACUUCCCAGAGUCCUGGAUAAUGACUGAGAGACAAACCACACAGGAAGCAAGU
rnacentral:snoRNA from 1 species